rnacentral:lncRNA from 1 species
AUUCCUCAGCAACACUUUCAGGUCCAUGAGUCAACAAAUGUUCUAGCACAAUCACAGCCUUAUAUGACACCCUCCAAUUCUUUCUAUCAAAACUUGACAAUCUAUAUCAUAAAUAAAAAUAACAAUCAAAACAUCAUCAAGCCUGAAAAUAUUAUUCAAGAAACUGCAAAAAGAAAAAAAUUAAAUUUUUUAUAUAUAUAAGAAGGCGAGCCUUGACAUAACUGGUAUAGUUACUGUCAUGUGACCAAAAGGUCACGGGUUCGAGCCGCGGGAACAACCUCUUGCAGAAAUACAUGGUAUAAGGCAGCAUAAAAUAGACCGUUGUGGUACGGCCCUUCCGCGGACCACACGCAUAGCGGGAGCUUAGUGCACCGGACUGCCCUUAUAUAAAUAAAU